ACCUGCUAAUCAUUUCCAGGUGCAAAACCAUGCGCACCAACGACUCGUGCCGAUCGAUACGCGACAAUAUUAAUCGUAGCUGGCAAUCUAGAUGCGGUAAAUCGAUCGUUCUCCAUCACGACCUUUGCUCGUACGCUGUUUGCGCGAAACACGAUCGACCAUCGAAUAAGUCGUUUCUUUGUCUAUUCACAGAUUCGUGUUCAGAAUGGGAAAGUGACUAUAAGUAAUAAAAGUAAAAAAGAAAAGAAGAGAAGAGAAAAGAAAAGAAAUGAAAAGAAAUCAAGAGGAUUUUCAUACUGAGAAUUUGUAUUUGUUAUUACUUGUUGUUUCUAUAAAAUGAUGACUUGAUUCUUCCAUAUUUGCCAUAUCGUCAUACUUUGAUAGGAUUUCGAGAAACGAUGAAACAUCAAAAUUAUUGAAAAGAACGUGGCAUGCAAUGCGGUAGUUGCAGUAUCUUUAGCAUCUCGACUAAAAUUAAUGAAAAACAAAAUAUACAUUUCCAUGCGUUUGUGUGGGAC